GAAAGCCUGAUGCAGCAACGCCGCGUGAGUGAUGAAGGCUUUCGAGUCGUAAAGCUCUUUGAUCAGGGAUGAUAAUGACAGUACCUGAAAAACAAGCCACGGCUAACUACGUGCCAGCAGCCGCGGUAAUACGUAGGUGGCGAGCGUUGUCCGGAAUUACUGGGCGUAAAGGAUGCGUAGGUGGAUAUUUAAGUGGGAUGUGAAAUCCCCGGGCUCAACCCGGGAACUGCAUUCCAAACUGGAUGUCUAGAGUGCAGGAGAGGAAAGCGGAAUUCCUAGUGUAGCGGUGAAAUGCGUAGAUAUUAGGAGGAACACCAGUGGCGAAGGCGGCUUUCUGGACUGUAACUGACACUGAGGCAUGAAAGCGUGGGUAGCAAACAGGAUUAGAUACCCUGGUAGUCC
rnacentral:rRNA from 1 species